rnacentral:rRNA from 1 species
GUGUCAGCAGCCGCGGUAAGACGUAGGAUGCGAGCGUUGUCCGGAAUUAUUGGGCGUAAAGAGUUCGUAGGCGGCAUAUCAAGUCUGGUGUUAAAUACCGAAGCUCAACUUCGGACCGGCACUGGAAACUGAUAAGCUAGAGUGCAGGAGAGGCAAGGGGAAUUCCCAGUGUAGCGGUGAAAUGCGUAGAUAUUGGGAGGAACACCAGUGGCGUAAGCGCCUUGCUGGACUGCUACUGACGCUGAGGAACGAAAGCCAGGGGAGCAAAUGGGAUUAGAUACCCCAGUAGUCCUGGCUGUAAACGAUGGAUACUAGGUGUUGCAGGUAUCGACCUCUGCAGUGCCGCAGCUAACGCAAUAAGUAUCCCGCCUGGGGAGUACGCACGCAAGUGUGAA